GCAACUAUCACAAUCAAUUCUACAACAUUUUAUCUUCUCGAGAAGGAAUUCCUCACACUUGUAAAGCUUUCUGAGAAGAGGAAUUUUCUGACUGAAGAGAUCAGAAGAAGUUGCUUGAAGGAAAUGCCAUUAACAGUGAUUUUUCAAGGACAUUCAUUUGGCAGGCUGCGGAAGUUGAACAGAAACAGCAAACUUCAUUGGCCAGACAAGGACCCAUGGAGAGCACAUAUUGGACAAUGGCCCUUUAAGAACGAGCAGCACCCACCC